rnacentral:rRNA from 1 species
AUUCCAGCUCCAAUAGCGUAUAUUAAGGUUGUUGCGGUUAAAAAGCUCGUAGUUGGAUUUCUGCCGAGGAUGACCGGUCCUUCACUCAGUGUUGGAACCUGAUUGUCUCCUGCCAUCCAUGGAGAAAACUUAUCUGGCAUUAAGUUGUCGGGUAGGCAAUCUCCAUCUUUUACUGUGAAAAAAUUAGAGUGUUCAAAGCAGGCUUAUGCCGUUGAAUAUAUUAGCAUGGAAUAAUAAGAUAGGACUAUGGUACUAUUUUGUUGGUUUGUGCACCAUGGUAAUGAUUAAUAGGGACAGUUGGGGGUAUUCGUAUUCCAUUGUCAGAGGUGAAAUUCUUGGAUUUAUGGAAGACGAACUACUGCGAAAGCAUUUACCAAGGAUGUUUUCAUUG